rnacentral:rRNA from 1 species
GAUGAACGCUAGCGGCAGGCUUAACACAUGCAAGUCGAGGGGCAGCAUGACACGGAGAUUCGUCGAAGUGUUGAUGGCGACCGGCGCAAGGGUGCGUAACGCGUGAGCAACUUGCCCGUUCCUGGGGAAUAACCGGUGGAAACGCCGACUAAUACCCCAUAGCAUAACGAAGAGGCAUCUUUUUGUUAUUAAAGAAUUUCGGAAACGGAUAGGCUCGCGUGACAUUAGCUAGAUGGCGGGGUAACGGCCCACCAUGGCGACGAUGUCUAGGGGUUCUGAGAGGAAGGUCCCCCACACUGGAACUGAGACACGGUCCAGACUCCUACGGGAGGCAGCAGUGAGGAAUAUUGGGUCAAUGGGCGCGAGCCUGAACCAGCCAAGUAGCGUGAAGGAUGACUGCCCUACGGGUUGUAAACUUCUUUUGUUUGGGAAUAAAUGAUACUACGUGUAGUAUUUUGCAUGUACCUUACGAAUAAGCAUCGGCUAAUUCCGUGCCAGCAGCCG